GUGCCAGCAGCCGCGGUAAUACAGAGACGGCAAGCGUUGCUCGGAUUCAUUGGGCGUAAAGGGUUCGCAGGCGGUCGGGCAAGUCGGAUGUGAAAGCCCACGGCUUAACCGUGGAGAGUCAUUCGAAACUGCUCGACUGGAGGACUGGAGAGGAGACUGGAAUGGUCGGUGUAGCGGUGAAAUGCGUAGAGAUCGACCAGAACACCGGUGGCGAAGGCGGGUCUCUGGCCAGUUCCUGACGCUCAGGAACGAAAGCGUGGGGAGCAAACGGGAUUAGAUACCCUGGUAGUCC
rnacentral:rRNA from 1 species